rnacentral:rRNA from 1 species
GACGAACGCUGGCGGCGUGCUUAACACAUGCAAGUCGAACGGACGAGUGAGAUAAGUUUACUUAACUCACAAGUUAGUGGCGGACGGGUGAGUAACACGUGGAUAAUCUACCUGCAACACCGGGAUAACGCUGUGAAAACGGUGCUAAUACCGGAUACGUUCCCUUGUGCGCAUGUAUGAGGGAAGAAAGCUCAGGCGGUUGCAGAUGAGUCCGCGGCUGAUUAGCUAGUUGGUGAGGUAAAGGCUCACCAAGGCGAUGAUCAGUAGCCGGCCUGAGAGGGUGAACGGCCACACUGGGACUGAGACACGGCCCAGACUCCUACGGGAGGCAGCAGUGGGGAAUCUUCCGCAAUGGGCGCAAGCCUGACGGAGCAACGCCGCGUGGGUGAAGAAGGCCUCGGUUGUAAGCCUGUCUUAUGGAAGAAGUCAGUGACGGUACCAUAGGAGGAAGCCACGGCUAACUAACGUGCCAGCAGCCGCGGUAAAGUACUCUA